rnacentral:rRNA from 1 species
UACGAAGGGUGCAAACGUUGCUCGGAAUUAUUGGGCGUAAAGCGCGCGUAGGCGGUUACUCAAGUCGGAUGUGAAAGCCCUCGGCUUAACUGAGGAAGUGCACCCGAAACUGAGUAGCUAGAGUACUAAAGAGGGUCGCGGAAUUCCCGGUGUAGAGGUGAAAUUCGUAGAUAUCGGGAGGAACACCGGUGGCGAAGGCGGCGACCUGGGUAGAUACUGACGCUGAGGCGCGAAAGCGUGGGGAGCAAACAGG